UUUCACUGUAGAUGCUUGUUGGGAUUUUAUCGUCUGUAAUUGCAACUUGUUAUGAGAUGGCCAAAACCAUUGCAUUUUGCAAUAGUUGAUGAACUUGAUUAUGUCCUAAUUGAUGAGGGAAGAAACCCAUUGCUGAUAAGGGGUGAGGCUAGCAAGGAUGCUGCACGUAACACAGUUGCUGCUAAAGUAGCUGAGCUUCUCAUGCGUGGCCUCGUAUUUUACUUUUUUGCCCUUCUUUUUCCUUUUUGAUGUCUUGUUAUCCAUCUCCAUUGUAUGCGUAUCUCAUUGUUUGUUCCACUACACAUCAUGUAAAUUUAUAUAUUGUAACAAAUAGAAUUGUAAGACAUUAAAUUUUAUGAAAUGGAUUAUAUUUUUUGUA